rnacentral:lncRNA from 1 species
GGGUCAAAACCUUUGUUCCCCUUCUCACAACUACCUCUAAUACAAUAACACUCCUAUCCAAACUCAAUCUCUUAGAACAUUUGCAGCUAUACUAAUUUUCCGAGGUAGUCUGCAAGUUUCCUAUUCCCUUGGACUCUAAUGCAGAGUUCUAUCCUUAGUUGUAGAUGAUCGCUUCUGUUGUUGCAUUUCUGUUAUGGAAUAUUGGUUGUUUCUUUCCAGCCAAAUCAUAUAGACCACAGCAACAAAACUUACUUUUAAUAUUAUUGUCCUUAUGCCUUUACCUUUUGAAUUCCUUUCACCCAUUGCCAUUCCAUGUCCCAGUCAAACGGCCUUCUGUGCCAUUGUUGCUAGUUUAAUACAACUUCCCAUGUUGUCUUAGCAAAUAUACACUCAAAAAACAAGUGGGCAGCACUUUCGGGGACUGAGUUGCAUAGGGGACAGGUCGCAUUUAUAGCCAUUCCCCACCUCAGCAAUACAUCCUUUGUUCGUAGUCGUCCAUGCAAUUGUAACCAUAAUAUAAAAACUUGUUUGGAUUCUGCACAGUUAUUACAUACUAAAUUUCUCCAGUCCACCUUCACUGUCUCUCCUCUUAAGAGGGUAUAAGCCUUAGAGAUCUUAAAAACUCCAUUAUGCAGCACCUGGGAAGUAGUGUUGUUUGUCAGCCCUACUAUGUGAGCAUAUUUCCUCAUACUCAAAAUUUCCUAAUCAUCCAUGAUGCCUGCCCUGGAAUGAGCAUAGUUGAGAUUUGUUGCUUCUUUAUGUAAUAUGUGUGAGUCCAUGUAAUCCAUAAUUUCUCCUUUUUGAGACUUAACGCCCAUAAAAGUUUACAUAUAGCUGCAGUAUUCCAGAUUUUCAAAUCUACAAGGUUAAGUCCACCGGCUUUUUUUGGUAAGCAAACUGUCCUUCAAGCCACUAGUGCCCAUUUAGUAAUAUUAGCCUCUCCUGUCCAUAGAUAACUUCUGCAAGCAGCUUCGAUCAUCUUCAUUAUUUUCUUUGGCAGUAAACAUAGUUGAGCCGAAUAAGCUUGUAUUCCAAACAACACCGCUUUAAUAAGUUGAACUCUGCCAGCGUAUGACAAGCUCUUUUCCAUCCAAGUUGUAAUUUUUGUUGUUAUCUUGUUUACCAGAGGCAUGCACUGUGAUAUAGUAAGUUUUUUUGAAGAGAAGGGCAUCCCUAAAUACUUAAAUGGUAGAUCUCCCUUUUCAUACUCCAAUAUCUGCAUAAUACUUUGCUGUACAGUAAUCUCCACUCCACCAAAAUACACUUGGCUUUUGCUCAUAUUGGCCUUCAAUCCGAAUGUUGUAGAGAAUACAUUAAAUUUAUCUUUUAGCAAAGACAAUGACUGUGCAUCCCCUCUUGCAAAUAAUAGGAGAUCAUCUGCAAAGCACAAGUGCGUAAUACCCAACUUCUGGCAUCUAAGGUGAAAAUCAAAAUCAGGAUUCAGCUUCAGAGUGUCCAUGCAUCUGUUCAGAUAUUCCAUAACAAUGACAAAAAUAUAAGGAGACAUGGGAUCUCCUUGUCGAAGUCCUCUCUUUGCCUGUAUUGUUUCUGAAAGAGUUCCAUUUAUGGAAAUGUAUAGCUCACUGUUUGAAUAAAAGUCAUAAUCUAUCUAACCAUUUGGCUAGGAAAGCCCACUUCUUUCAACAUUUGUUCUAUGAAGUACCACUCAACUGAGUCAUAAGCUACUAGCUCAUGACUCAGAAUAAUAUUAUCAGAUAUCAGCCUUCCUGGAAUGAAAGCCGAUUGGUUGUGGC